rnacentral:rRNA from 1 species
CCAGAGAACUUUCCAGAGAUGGAUUGGUGCCUUCGGGAACUCUGAGACAGGUGCUGCAUGGCUGUCGUCAGCUCGUGUUGUGAAAUGUUGGGUUAAGUCCCGCAACGAGCGCAACCCUUAUCCUUUGUUGCAGCGGUUAGGCCGGGAACUCAAAGGAGACUGCCAGUGAUAAACUGGAGGAAGGUGGGAUGACGUCAAGUCAUCAUGGCCCUUACGAGUAGGGCUACACACGUGCUACAAUGGCGCAUACAAAGAGAAGCGACCUCGCGAGAGCAAGCGGACCUCAUAAAGUGCGUCGUAGUCCGGAUUGGAGUCUGCAACUCGACUCCAUGAAGUCGGAAUCGCUAGUAAUCGUGGAUCAGAAUGCCACGGUGAAUACGUUCCCGGGCCUUGUACACACCGCCCGUCACACCAUGGGAGUGGGUUGCAAAGGAAGUAGGUAGCUUAACCUUCGGGAGGGCGCUUACCACUUUGUGAUUCAUGACUGGGGUGAAGUCGUAACAAGGUAAGCGUAGAUGA